UGUGUCCCUCUUCAUUCUCCAGGAUGCAGGUCGAGAGUCGAGACGGGGGAUCCGCGGUAAACCAUGCGCCGCCACUCCUCCUUCCCCUCUUCCUCGCGUCGCCCCUCUCCGUGAGCUUGCAAGGAUGGCCCUCUUUCUACGUCACCACUCCCCAUCGGCGCCCUCGGCGGACUGGCCUGUAAGGACGCCCGCCGACGGCAUCCUCUCGUAGACACCGACGCGCUAGGAUUCUCCCACCGCCGCCUGCAUCCCUCCAGUGCCCCCUCACGCCGCGGCCUCCUCCCCUUCCUUUUAGCAUCGUUGACGCACCCCACGCCGAGGUCCCAGCCGAACGGCCACCACUGCUGUUGCUGUCAUUCGUCGCCGCCGAGUCCGUCCCACCGCAAGCACGGCCGCACUGCGAUCUACUCGCUCCUCCCUUGCUGCAGGCAUGUAGAUGGUGAGGAACCUUAAUCCCUAGGUGAUCUGCUGCCAGAUUGUUCACACAACGUGACACAUUCACUCCCAUUGGGUUGGCACGUGCUCGCUUGUGAGAUGAAUGCAUGGUAAAAUAUUAAAGAUCUGCCAUGUGAGAGGCUCCUGCUACUGGAAGACGAGGAACUUGUUGAUGCCCAGCUCCUCAAGGGGAGGCGCCAGCCACCGCCGACGCUGGCGUUGCCAUGGCCAUCCAUCCUCGCCGUCUGAUGGAACCGCCCAUGCCAUGGUCGUUGUCAGAAUUGUCCGAGUUGAUGUACUGAAGAAAGGCAGAUGUCAUAUCAUGCUAUGUUCUUUCAACCUGUGCUUAACAUUUUAAUGUAAGUCACCUGGUGCAGAGGACUUCAACAACAUGCUCUGUUUGAAGAGCAAGCAGUGAAAUUGUUGGUGCCUGAUCUGGUUUUGUGGGCGGUAGUCUUGCUUUCAAAAAUAUAUGACAUCACACAUCAAGUUUUACCUGGUUGACAAUAUCAAGGUUUACAAUAACGAGGAAGCAAAAAUUACUUGUGGGGCUAGGCUCGGCUACUGCUUGUAGAUCAUGGCGUCUUUGCAGAAGAAUCAAGGCAACCGUGCAAAGGAGGUUGGCGGCAAUGAGCAACUUAGGAAGGAGACGACAUCCGUGGGGUUGUAUUAUACACCAAGAUCAGGCUCGCGUUGGAGCUCAUAUAAUCUUGCUUGUUGAAGUUCACAUCAUGUACACCAACCUCAUGAUGUGAUUAGCAAGUGGCCCUGAUUAUACCAAAUGCAUGUCCGAGUAGAGUAAUAUUUCUUUCUUCAGGUGCAUUGUUGCAUUUCUUAUUUUCUUAAUGACUGUUCGAGUGUAAUAUUUCUUUGUUUUCCAAAUACAUGUUCUAAUUCAGAUAAUAGUCUGUAACCUGCAGGUUUUAAAUUUUGACUUCCAAUGAAGUUGUAAAGCUUUUUGAAAAAACAAAUACUUCCUCCGUCACAGUUUAGAAGACAUGGUUAAAUUUACAUGCAUUUCCAGAAUAGACAAGGUUUAGGGCGCAUUGCAUUUACUCCUAGCAGCUAAUUAGCACUCCAUUGUACUACUUCUAUAUGCAUGCGUAGUGUGAAUGCUAUUUUUCAGUCCAUCUCACAGCCAAUCAAUAACCACCUAAGUUUCAGAGAAUUUGCAAGAACACCUUCUAAACCGUGACGGAGGGAGUAUGAAGUUCCAAUGUUUGGUGCACAUAAACUUUGGAACUUUGCAGCAUGAUAAUGAAGUGAAUAAGGAAAAGAAGGAAAUCACAGCCUACAAGCCAUUAAAAGGGUAAGGACUCGAUCUAAAUUUAUUGCACCAGUAAAUAUACGAAUUGACCUGUUAGGAGUGGCUUCGCUAAAAUUAAGGUCUCAAAUGUUUGAAUUAUGCAAUUAAUGGAGUUAAUGUUUUUUCACUUUUGUUCCUAAAGAUAUCCUGAUGCCUACUUUGCUGGUACCAAAUCCCAUUAGUAAUGCAAAGCUUUCAAUUUAGAACAAAUAUGUAUAUUUGGAGAACAUGGUUUUCCGUUUAUCCAAAUACUUUAUUGUCCGUAAUCUUUCUCAAGGCCCAUUAUAUUUGCAGAUACACAGUUUUUGUUCCUGUACCACCUAAGAAAAUAGAUCAUACAAUAUUGAUUUUAUUUUCGAUUCUUAUUUGCCUAUUGAUCGUACAUGUACAGUAUGUAGUUCAAUAAAAUUUAUGUAUCGGUAACUUUUGCUGGCAUAUUGUUUGUCUGCUUUGUCAUCUAUGAGAUCAUUACUGACUUUUUUGGUACUGUUUACACAUGUUAAGAUCUCUUCAGUAAGCAGAUUCAUUCAAUGUAUUAGUUCACACAUCUUAAUUGUGUGACUAUUGGAGCGUUAUAUAUGACAUUGUCUUGUUUGUAUCAUGUGAGAGUAUAAGAGGCAACUAAAAAUGGUGCCAUGUGGAAGCUACCCGAUAUUGUCACAUGUACAUAUGAUCGUUAUGUUGGGGCAGGUAGUUUGUUUUGGUGGAAGAACCAAGGGAGAAGCAUCCAUUUGACAAGCUCAAAGUCAUUGGUUAGCAUCACCAUCUUUGUAAAUAUCUUAAACCAAGAUCUAGGAGUAUUUAACCAAUCAUGCUCUAAAGCCAACGGAGAAUGUGAGAGAAAAUAUUUGUAAAUGAUGGAGUCUCCAUAUGAAUGUGUUUAAUUUUACUUA